rnacentral:tRNA from 1 species
GCGGGCGUUGGGCAUUCCGGUUGCUCGCUGGGUUCGUAACCCAUCGGUCACCAGUUCAAGUCUGGUCCGCCCCA